rnacentral:lncRNA from 1 species
GUUGGUGAACUGGCUGAAUGAUAGACUUGCGCAAGUCUCAUCCAAGAACAUUUCUUAAGCAUAACUCCAUUCUUUAUAUUAGAAACCCCAAGAUAUGGUUAAAAAUGGUCAGGAUGAUGGUUGCAACAGUGUGAACAAAUCUCUACCUGUUUUUUAUGCCCUAGUGACAUCUUAAAAAACUAUUGGAGCUUCAAUCUCAUCAUUGCAGCCACCAUCUUGACUCUUAUAGCUUACACUGAAGACACCUUGCUUGCCAAAGAGGUUGCCAUUUGGAACCUCUGCAGUUUGCAGUGUUUGUUUCAUUCUUCAUCUACAGCGAGUAAACCAAGCCAAGCAGAAGGGUGUGGAUCGUUUGUCACUCUCUCUAAACCAGGAACAAGAGAAAAUAAACAGAAGCUUGCUCAAUCCAAUCCUGCCUGAGAACAUGCAAGCGAGAAGCGGCCGGAGAUCCAAACCUUUCUUAUGGGGGGAAUGAAAGAAAACAGGUUCAAGCCACUCUCUGCAGGUUAAGGUGAAGCCAAAGCCCAGUUCACACCUGAGUUGAAACCCUGGGCCUCUUGCUCUUAAGAGUGUUCUCAGCAUAGGAAAUGACUCAUGUAAAGUAACUAUACAUUGAAGAACGCUUUUGAGCAUGGAAAGGUUAUCAAGAACCACGUCUCUCCUACAGGUAGUCCUCAAAUUACAACAGUUGGUACAGUGACCGUUUGAAGUUACAAUGGCACUGGCAUGACCAUUUUUCACACUUACGACCUCUGCAGCAUCCCCAAGGUCACGUGAUCAGAAUUUGAAUGUUUGGCAACUGAUUCAUAUUUAUGAUGGUGGCAGUGUCCCAGGGUCACGUGACUACCUUUCUGACAAACACGAUUCACUUAACAAUCAAGUUAUUAGCUGAACAACUGGAUUCACUUAGCAAAUGUGGCAAGUAAAGUAAAAAGGGGCAAAACUCACUUAACAAAUUUCUCACUUAGCAACAUAAAUUCUGGGCUCAAUUGUGGUCAUAAGUUGAGGACUAUUUGUAUUUCAUCCACCUGGUUUACCAGGAUGGGGAGGCAGUGUACAUUAUGGGUCCCCUUGAUUAGGGAUGUACUUUAUAUCUAAUAUAAAUAUGGUUAGUCUCCACCCUGUUGCUUUGCCAAAAGGCCCCUUAAAAAGGCCUGGGGACCACAAAUGGAGAUGGAGCUGAUUAAGGACUGAUUUGAUUAUGUUCUUGCUGACAGGUGAGGUGGGGUGAGAUUUUUUUUUAAUCAGUUUUUAUUAUGUGGUGGAUUUUUAAAAUAUUGUAAAUCGCCCAGUGUAGGAUUGGCUGUGAUAUAAAUUUAUUUAAUAAAUAAACAACACAAGCAGCUUGUGAAUUGAGAGUUAGAAGAUAGGUUUCCAGUCCAAACAUGAGGACAAUUGGAACCUUUUCUGAUAAGCAAUAAAGUUCUGGUCCAAAUUUC